GGACUAGGUUGAUGUGGCUUUUCCUGAUGUUGCCUGCUUGGCAGGUAAAUUAGGCUGCCAAUCUGGCAGUUUUCAUUGGCAAUAAAUCUAUUCUAGACAUUUUAUUUAAAAGCUGGCACUGAUGUAGGGGAGGUAAGGGAUUGUAAAUUUUCUUUUAUUUAGAGGCCAGGCACAAUCAUAACAAACAUAGACCACCUGGAAGC
ensembl:misc_RNA